UGGGGAAUAUUGGACAAUGGGCGCAAGCCUGAUCCAGCAAUGCCGCGUGAGUGAAGAAGGCCUUAGGGUUGUAAAGCUCUUUCGGCGGGGACGAUGAUGACGGUACCCGCAGAAGAAGCCCCGGCUAACUCCGUGCCAGCAGCCGCGGUAAUACGGAGGGGGCUAGCGUUGUUCGGAAUUACUGGGCGUAAAGGGCGCGUAGGCGGCGCGAUAAGUUGGGCGUGAAAGGCCCGGGCUCAACCCGGGGACUGCGCUUGAUACUGUCGCGCUGUGAGUCCGGGAGAGGAUGGCGGAAUUCCCAGUGUAGAGGUGAAAUUCGUAGAUAUUGGGAAGAACACCGGUGGCGAAGGCGGCCAUCUGGACCGGCACUGACGCUGAGGCGCGAAAGCGUGGGGAGCAAACAG
rnacentral:rRNA from 1 species